CUGAAAGUAUGACAUACAAUAAACAUUGAAAUAACAACUGAAGACAUUUACAAGAAACCAAACAACAAACUGAAACUCAAUAUGAACACAGCAGGUAAGAACAUACAUUCGCAUCACAGUUUUUAGUGGC